UACGGGGGGAGCAAGCGUUGUUCGGAUUUACUGGGCGUAAAGGGCGCGUAGGCGGUCAGCACAAGUCAGUUGUGAAAUCUCCGGGCUUAACUCGGAAAGGUCAACUGAUACUGUGCGACUAGAGUGCAAAAGGGGCAACUGGAAUUCUCGGUGUAGCGGUGAAAUGCGUAGAUAUCGAGAGGAACACCUGCGGCGAAGGCGGGUUGCUGGGCUGACACUGACGCUGAUGCGCGAAAGCCAGGGGAGCGAACGGG
rnacentral:rRNA from 1 species